AGAAUCUCCCGGCAGUUGGUUCCCGGAGGCAGAAUCUGUUAAACUGACAAAGCCCACGUCUCCGGGUCCCUGUCUCGGGGAGUCGGGACUAUUGGGUCACCCCGGGUAGUCGAGACUCUAGACUGAGCUGUCUCGGUCACUCAGGAGGCAGUUGGCAGAGUAUUCGUGGUCAGGGAGGUGACCCGUGGUCAGCAGGGUCAGGCCACCCAGGGACAAAGGGUGCUCCUGCACCGGGCCUUGGAGAAGGACAGAGCGGUGGGGACUUGGGGUCAGCGGGGGAGCCUCCGCGGAUGGGGAGUCACCACCUGCCGGGUAAGAGGGGACUCAUCACAGGGGCCGGAGCAAGACAAGCCCUCCCUCCCGGCUCAGGCCGGGUCCCAGGCUGGACCCCUCCCUGUCUCACAGGGCCGGCCUCCUUCGGAGCUGGCUGGGAUGGAAAGGGGAAGUAGGAGGAGCUCAGGACACAGGGAUUGGGGCCGAUCCUGGGGUCUGAGCUGUGGGGUGAGGAGGGGAUCGCCUGUCCCCUGGGGAGUGACGAUGUCACCCAGCCGUGGCCGUUGCGGAGGUCAUGAUCUGAACCUUGACAGCAAUCAGCCAUGACUGCCUUUGCACUGUCCAUGCUCUCAGCCCACCACCUCCUCCCCCUGCCAUUGCAGUGGCUAACACUGGAGACGAAGACCAAGACACCACAGCCUUUCUCCAGUACCUCUCAAAUCAGCACAGACAAGGACAAAGGCCUCAAUCCACAACUGCUGAAGAUGGACCCUGGCCACAUGGGAUGGUCAGACACGCCUGCCCAGCUAUCUGCAGGCGAAGAGGCUCAGAAGAGGUUUAGGGGCCUGAAGGACAUCUUGCUUCCAUGUCCAUAUGAGCAGGCUAUUUCUGCUCCAUGAGUCAAUUUUGCCAUAUAAAAUACUUAAUUUCAGCCAUUCCAGGGUGCUAUAGGAUGCACAGCUUCCCAUCAGCCCACCUGAACUCCAGCCAUGCCAUUUUAAUACCAGGAAUAAGGUCACCUGCUUUCCUGCCCCUUAGGAGGCCGGAGCCGUGGAAGCAAAAUGGCACUUCUGUUUACCUGUUAUAUUAUUUUUUUGUCAUCCUUAUAUGUUUGAAAAAUGCAAUUAUAUGAAAAAAGUUUAGUAAUUACAGACAUAACAGCAGAAAGUCCUCGGAACCAAGCUUAUUCUCAUGGCCGAUUCUGCUCCACCUGGGACUCUGCUGUGCUGCGGGCAUCCUGUGGUCAGAAUCGCAGAGGGGCCAUCAGGGAGGACCUUCCCAGAGGAUGGACCUCACGUGACUGCUGCGUGGGCAAGUGGCACUGGCCACUCUGCCUGGAGAGAGGAGUAAAUGCAGGGCUGGCCAGGCGACCUGCACACUCUGC
rnacentral:lncRNA from 1 species